rnacentral:hammerhead_ribozyme from 1 species
GUCCAGCUGACGAGUCCCAAAUGGGACGAAACGCGCGUCCUGGAC